GACGUAGGGCGCGAGCGUUGUCCGGAUUUAUUGGGCGUAAAGAGCUCGUAGGCGGCUUGUCGCGUCGACUGUGAAAACCCGCGGCUCAACUGCGGGCUGGCAGUCGAUACGGGCAGGCUAGAGUUCGGUAGGGGAGACUGGAAUUCCGGGUGUAGUGGUGAAAUGCGUAGAGAUCCGGAGGAACCCCAGAGGCGAAGGCGGCGCUCUGGCUCGCAACUGACGCUCAGACACGACAGCAUGGGGAGCGAACGGG
rnacentral:rRNA from 1 species